UUUGUAUGUAUUCGCGGGUUUUACUGGACGGACUUCCGAUACGUGUACAGUAUUGUCUGAACAUCAAGUUACGUAAACGGGAUUCUUACGUGUACAGUCGACAACCAACAAAUUAUUAUCAACAUAUUAAAAAUAUAAAUAAUAUAUGGUUUGAAAGGUAUUUAAUACAGUGAACUCCUUUUAUUCGAUAUUUAAUUUUUUGUUUUACAUUGUAAAGUUAAUACGAUGCUCCAUUAGUAUUAAAGAAUUUGAAUAGUAAACUUAGUUUUCAGUUCUCGAAUCGUUUUGAACAUGAAAGUAUUAAAAGUUAUUGUUAUUUCAUUCUUGCAAUGAUCGUGCAGUGCGUUUAAGCCAUACUUGAAACAGAAAACGGAUUUAAAAAAAGAAUAUGGAAAAAAAGUUUGGUGGAUUUCAAAUAUUUUAUACUGCUGGGCUAUUGUUGUUUAGGUAUUUGACAGUUAUUUAUGCUGUAUCACUUAAUAAUUCUUCAGUAGUUCCAAUAGAAAACUCAACUGGAAACAAUAGUAACAUUAUCAUUACUGACCUAGAUCAUGAAAAGAUCAGUCCGUUUUGGUCGUUCAACGAUUCAGCAGUAGACUUGACCAAAUACGAACAAUUUGACCAUCAGCGUUUUAUAGAAACGGUUUUGGAUCCUGAAUUAGUGCAACCUACAUCAUCUUCAUUACCAAAAAUUAAAAAUAUUUCAAAUACGAAGCGAAAAAAUUUUACUAAAACUUAUACGUUAGUGUCUCCACCAAUAUUUGAUGGCCCUAACAUCACGAACGCAACGGCAAGAUUAGGAGAAAGUGCGUUUUUACACUGUACAGUAAGAAACCUACAACAAAGACCGGUAUCUUGGGUCAGGCGAAGAGACUGGCACAUUCUAAGCUCUGAUGUAUUUAUGUACACAAAUGAUGAACGAUUCCACGUGCUUCAUGCAGACAAUGCUGAUAAUUGGGAUUUACAAAUUAAAUACGUCCAAAAAAGAGACGCUGGUUCAUACGAAUGUCAAGUCGCAAUGGGAACAGGAAUUGCUUCACAUUACUUUAAUCUUGAAGUAAUUGUACCAAUUGCUCGAAUAUUGGGACGAGAAGAAUAUCACGUUGGAAAAGGAAGUACCAUAAAUCUCAUAUGUGUUAUUAAAAAUGGUUCAAUGUUAACACACAAUGUGGUUUGGAUCCAUAAUGGACGACCUAUUGAUAACUCUACGAAUAACAAAAAUGACUAUAGAGAAGUUAAGACCGAAAUUUUACAGUCAGAUAAUACAAUACAAAGUCGCUUAUUCAUUAGGGGAGCAUCUCAAGCCGCUUUGGGAAAUUAUACGUGUACGGCACCUAACACGGAGCCUGACACAGUUAACGUAUAUGUGAGCGAAGAAGGCGACAAUAUUGCAGCUAUUCAAAGACAUGGAACAUCAUCUAGUCCAUCGCUAAUACUGAUGGCAAAUUUAAUAUUAGCCACCCCUUUAACACUACAUAGACUAACAGAGUUCCUUUAAUUUCAAUUUUCGAUAAGUUUUCUUCUUGAACACAAUAAUUUAACUUGGCUUACAGGUCGACCAACCUGCUUCAUAAUCUAUAGUGCAAUAUUUGUAACGUAAAGAAUGAACCCAACUGUUAAGGAAAAAUAUUUCUUUGUGUGGUAGACAAAUAGUUUUAUAUAAGAAAUAUUUGACCGAAGAAAAUAUUAUUUGGAGGAUGGUAAAAUAUAAUGUGUUAGAAAUUACAAAGGACCCAUGACUUUAUCUCUUCAAAAACUUAUUUGUAAACACUUAAAAUUGAUUAUAUAUAUAUAUUGUAUUUUUCAAAUGUAUAUUUUGAUGAUUUAAGUCAUGUUUACCACAUUAUUUUACAGUUCUAUAAUGCACAUUGUUUAUAAUUAUAUUUUCUAUGAAAACCAAAUAAUUUAAUUUCUUUUUAAAAUUGGGAUUUUAAUUUGGUGUCUUAAAUCAAGAAAAUAAAGUAGUAUGUUUGAAUAUAAUAAUUUGUUGAAAAAUUUGAAAGAAAUACAAUUAAAAAAAAAAACUAUUUUGAAAGACUUUAUUUAAUAAAUAAUGUUUAAUUUAUUUCUU